GAUGAACGCUGGCGGCGUGCCUAAUACAUGCAAGUCGAGCGAACAGACGAGGAGCUUGCUCCUUUGACGUUAGCGGCGGACGGGUGAGUAACACGUAGGUAACCUACCUAUAAGACUGGGAUAACUUCGGGAAACCGGAGCUAAUACCGGAUAAUAUUUCGAACCGCAUGGUUCGAUAGUGAAAGAUGGCUUUGCUAUCACUUAUAGAUGGACCUGCGCCGUAUUAGCUAGUUGGUAAGGUAACGGCUUACCAAGGCAACGAUACGUAGCCGACCUGAGAGGGUGAUCGGACACACUGGAACUGAGACACGGUCCAGACUCCUACGGGAGGCAGCAGUAGGGAAUCUUCCGCAAUGGGCGAAAGCCUGACGGAGCAACGCCGCGUGAGUGAUGAAGGUCUUCGGAUCGUAAAACUCUGUUAUUAGGGAAGAACAAACGUGUAAGUAACUGUGCACGUCUUGACGGUACCUAAUCAGAAAGCCACGGCUAACUACGUG
rnacentral:rRNA from 1 species